UGGAUUGGAAGAACAAAUAUUGUGAAGAUGUCAAUGCUACCUAGAGCAAUCUACACAUUGAAAGCAAUCCCUAUCAAAAUGCCAUCCACUUUUUUCAAAGAAUUGGAACAAAUAAUCCUAAAAUUUGUAUGGAACCAGAAAAGACCCCGAAUAGCCAGCGGAAUGUUAAAAAAGAAAAGCAAAGCUGGUGGCAUCACAAUUCCGGACUUCAAGCUCUAUUACAAAGCUGUAAUCAUCAAGACAGUAUGGUACUGGCACAAAAACAGACACAUAGAUCAAUGGAACAGAACAUAGAGCCCAGAAAUGGACUCUCAACUCUAUAGUCAACUUACCUUCGACAAAGCAGGAAGGAAUGUCCAGUGGAAAAAAGACAGUCUCUUCAACAAAUGGUGUUGGGAAAAUUGGACAGCCACAUGCAGAAGAAUGAAACUGGACCAUUUCCUUACACCACACACAAAAAUAGACUCAAAAUGGUUGAAAGACCUAAAUGUGAGACAAGAAUCCAUCAAAAACCUUGAGGAUAACACAGGCAGCAACCUCUUCAACCUCAGCCGCAGCAACUUCUUCCUAGAAACAUCACCAAAGGCAAGGGAAGCAAGGGCAAAAAUGAACUAUUGGGACUUCAUCAAGAUAAAAAGCUUUUGCAAAGCAAAGAAACAGUCAACAAAACCAAAAGACAACUGACAGAAUGGGAGAAGAUAUUUGCAAAUAUAUCAGAUAAAAGGCUAGUAUCCAAAAUCUAUGAAGAACUCAUCAAACCCACAGCCAAAGAACAAAUGAUCCAAUCAAGAAAUGGGCAGAAGACAUGAACAGACAUUUUUUCAAAGAAGACAUCCAAAUGGCCAACAGACACAUGAAAAAGUGCUCAACAUCGCUCGGCAUCACAGAAAUCCCAAUCAAAACCUCAAUGAGAUACCACCUCACACCAGUCAGAAUGGCUAAAAUUAACAAGUCAGGAAACAACAGAUGUUGGUGGGGAUAUGGAGAAAGGGGAACCCUCCUACACUGUUGGUGGGAAUGCAAGCUGGUGCAGCCACUCUGGAAAACAGUAUGGAGGUUCCUCAAAAAGUUGAAAAUAGAGCUGCCCUAUGACCCAGCAAUUGCACUACUGGGUAUUUACCCUAAAGAUACAAAUGUAGGGAUCUGAAGGGGUAUGUGCACCCUGAUGUUUAUAGCAGGAAUGUCCACAUUAGCCAAACUAUGGAAAGAGCCAAGAUGUCCAUCGACAGAUGAAUGGAUAAAGAAGAAGUGGUAUAUAUAUACAAUGGAAUAUUAUGCAGCCAUCAAAAGGAACGAAAUCUUGACAUUUCCAACGACGUGGAUGGAACUGGAGGGUAUUAUGAUUGAACAACUUGUCUGAAGUUAUAGAACUUCUGGAGAGAGUGGCUUAAGAUUUGGAUGCAUAUCCUUUCUAAAAGGCCUAGAGCUGUCUCUGAAGUGUAAUCUCUGGAAUAUAUGUAUACCAGUAAUAUUGAGAACCACAUCAUUUCAUUCCAGGAUCCACAAAGGGCAUUGCAUAUGUAAUCAGCAGAACAAAUGACCAUGUGGGGCACAUACUUUUACAUUUGCAU